rnacentral:misc_RNA from 1 species
CGCAUCUUGCGCCGCUCGGUUUUCCGAGGGGCACGUCUGUUUGAGUGUCACGUUAAUUCCUCACUUCACUUCGGUGAACGUGGACUUGGACCGUGCUGUCGCUCGCUCGACGGCUCGUCCGAAAUGCAUUGCUGCCUGCAGAGUCUUGCGCAAAGCGAGGCCGACGAAACGGUGUGAUAUUUUAUCUGCGCUGGACUAGUCGGUUUUGGGCUGCUGCAAAAUAUUCGCUCUGGGCUUACAAUAUUUUUCUGCGCAUGUCGCGGAUUUAUUCUUUGCGUUUGACCUCAAAUCAGAUGGGACUACCCGCUGAACUUAA